UUUCCGUAGGUGAACCUGCGGAAGGAUCAUUAAAUAGUACCACAGAUUACAUAUGCAAAUAUGACAAUCUACUACUAUAUACCAUUCCGAGUACUCUUUUUCCAUGUUGCUUCCGCGAGGCAGUCACUUCAAGUGGCCGUUUGUUCCGGAUCUACCUUCUUGGAGAGCCGGCUGUGGGCGAGAUUUCCUUGCGAAAGGUCAAUUACAAAUCCAAUUAUGGUUUUAUUUUGUGUCUGAAUAGAUUUUUUUUUCUUUCUUUUUUUAAUUAAUAAAUACAAAAAAAAUAAAAUAAAAUACAAAACUUUCAACAACGGAUCUCUUGGUUCUC
rnacentral:misc_RNA from 1 species